rnacentral:tRNA from 1 species
GCCCUGGUGGUGUAGCGGCCUAGCAUAGGGGACUGUCACUCCCCUGACCCGGGUUCAAAUCCCGGCCAGGGCG